GUUUCUAGUUCCUUCCAUUUGACUUAUCUCCCUUAGGACAGGACCUAGGGUUGCCCGCUCGCCCAACUCCAGGUCACCGUGACCCGUGGGUGGAGACAUGCCCAGAGGCAAAUGCUAAUGGGCUCUGGUGACAAACAGCAUUGGGAGGAGCCAUCCCUCCUCUCCAGUCCAUCUGUCUGUCCGCAGACCUCAGCUUCCUCCUGGCCACCCACAAGAAUGCUGUAAGGAGGCAGCCUGUUGCUGGAGCCCAGAAUUCACGGUGUGUCAUGAGGGGGGGGGGGGGGCGCCUACCUUGUGGGUUCAGAGCUGGCUCUGUUUCCUGGACCUUCAGCUUUCUUGUCCUUAUCAAUAUUGUCCCCAGACUCCAGUGCCCCUCUCAUCUUGCCCCGUAGCAGGUCCCUGCUGUGAGAGGCCAAGGACCCAGUGGGUCAGCCAAGCUCUUGUUGCUUUCUUGCCCUGAGUCACAACCCAACCAACCAACAGCAGCAGGGCUGGGAGCCAGCUGACCAGAGUGACCCAGCUGGAGACGGGCAGGAGGUCAGAUUCGGACUCUCAGGUGCCCAGACAGCAUGCCAACCUUGAGGAUGAAGGACCUCUAGACUGCCACCCCCACCCCACGUGCCCCCUUCCCACUCUGCCCACCAGCCUCAGCUACAGGAUGGAGCCGGGCCUCGGGGAGCCGUGGAAGGUUACAGUGGUAAAGUAUCUCCUGACCCCAGAUUUCCUGACCUUGGCUACUAGAAGUCCUCCUGGUCGGGCUGGGGAGACAGUAUCGUGGCUCUCUCUGCAGAAUGAGUCUCCUGCCUGAGGACACAAAGGUCCCAGGGUUGAGGGACAAGGUGUCACCGUGUGUCUCGAUAUGCAUCCCCCUUGAAAAAUACUUGUGCUGUGACCUGGGAGAACCACUGCGGUCUCCAGUGGAGGGAACGGGGACACAGAACUUUGGUGGUGGAAACAGUGUGAGAUUAGACCCCUGUUAUCCCCUAAUUGUGCACAUCAAUAUUAAAUCACUAGAAAAAAAAUGAAUUAAGGAA